GUUUUUUGUUGUUUUUUAU
rnacentral:sRNA from 1 species